rnacentral:rRNA from 1 species
AUGAAUAUUCUAGCCUGGAACUGUCGGGGAUUGGGGUUGGACUCGACAGUGGGCGAACUUAGAGACCUGAUUAGGUCCUACAACCCAGCGGUGGUGUUCCUAAGUGAGACUAAGAAAAAAGCAAGGGCGAUGGAGAGACUAAGGUGGAGGCUAGGUUUUAAGGAAGGUGUGGCAGUGGACUGCAAUGGAAAAAGUGGAGGACUCGCUUUGUGGUGGAGGGAUAAUGUUCAAGUCACAGUCAAGCCUUGGUGUCAGUAUUUCAUUGAUAUAAAUGCUGUGUUUAAGGGCAAAACCAUGCGAAUCACUGGAUUCUAUGGUGAACCCCGUACUGAAUUGAGGGAGAAAUCCUAG